GUGCAGCAGCCGCGGUAAUACCGGCAGCCCAAGUGAUGGCCGCUGUUAUUGGGCCUAAAGCGUCCGUAGCUGGCCGCACGAGUCCGUCGGGAAAUCCGCCCGCUCAACGGGCGGCCGUCCGGCGGAAACUGUGUGGCUUGGAACCGGAAGGCUCAGAGGGUACGUCCGGGGUAGGAGUGAAAUCCCGUAAUCCCGGACGGACCACCGAUGGCGAAAGCACUCUGAGAAGACGGCUUCGACAGUGAGGGACGAAAGCUCGGGUCUCAAACCGGAUUAGAUACCCCAGUAGUCC
rnacentral:rRNA from 1 species